GCAUCAAUGGGGUAGUGGUAACCUGGGUCGUUGCCAUCCUUGGGUUCGACCCGCCGGGGGUUCGAUUCCCUCUUGAUGCA
rnacentral:tRNA from 2 species